rnacentral:rRNA from 1 species
GAUGAACGCUGGCGGCGUGCCUAAUACAUGCGAGUCGAGCGAACAGACGAGGAGCUUGCUCCUCUGACGUUAGCGGCGGACGGGUGAGUAACACGCGGAUAACCUACCUAUAAGACUGGGAUAACUUCGGGAAACCGGAGCUAAUACCGGAUAGUAUAUUGAACCGCAUGGUUCAAUAGUGAAAGACGGUUUUGCUGUCACUUAUAGAUGGAUCCGCGCCGCAUUAGCUAGUUGGUAAGGUAACGGCUUACCAAGGCAACGAUGCGUAGCCGACCUGAGAGGGUGAUCGGCCACACUGGAACUGAGACACGGUCCAGACUCCUACGGGAGGCAGCAGUAGGGAAUCUUCCGCAAUGGGCGAAAGCCUGACGGAGCAACGCCGCGUGAGUGAUGAAGGUCUUCGGAUCGUAAAACUCUGUUAUUAGGGAAGAACAAAUGUGUAAGUAACUAUGCACGUCUUGACGGUACCUAAUCAGAAAGCCACGGCUAACUACGUG